AGCAACCUGAGGAACAAUGCAAGAUACCCUGCAGGGUUAUCAGCCUCCUACAAGGGAGUCCCAGGCCCAUGACUCUUUCCAGAAAGAUUCUCCAUUCCUCAUUUUCCUCUAUGGCUACUAGUCAAUUUCUGAGGGUCUUUCUCUGUCACCCAAGCUGGAGUGCAAUGGUGUAAUCAUAGCUCACUGCAGCCUCGACUCCUGGGCUCAACUCUCACUUCAGGCACGUACGUGUCUCACCCAAGGCAUCGAAAAUACCUGGUAUGUCUGGCCUCCAAGUCCUGUUAGCUUUUUUUUUGUUUUUUGUUUUUGAGACAGAGUCUUGCUCUGUCACCCAGGCUGGAGUGCAGUGGUGUGAUCUUGGCUCACUGCAGCCUCCAACUUCCAGGUUCAAGCAAUUCUCAUGCCUGAGCCUCCCUGGUAGCUGGGACUACAGGCACGUGCCACCACACCUGGCUAAUUUUUAUAGUUUUAGUAGAGAUGGGGUUCUGCCAUGUUGGCCAGACUGGUCUCAAACUCCUGGCCUCAAGUGAUCUGCCUGCCUCGGCCUCCCAAAGUGCUGGGAUUACUGGUGUGAGCCACCACGCCUGGAUGAUAUUUUGAAGACUUCAUAUAAAAAUAAGUAUCUCAAUAAGUUUUAUAUUGACUACAUAUUGAAAUGAUACUAUUUUAGAUAUCAUGGAUUCAGUAAACUGUGCUUUUAAAAUUAAUUUCACCUGUUUCUUUUUACUUUUAAAAAAUGCAGCUACUGCCGGGCGCGGUGGCUCAAGCCUGUAAUCCCAGCACUUUGGGAGGCUGAGGCAGGUGGAUCACGAGGUCAGGAGAUCAAGACCAUCUUGGCUAACACGGUGAAACCCCAUCUCUACUAAAAAUACAAAAAAUUAGCUGGGCAUGGUGGUGGGCUGUAGUCCCAGGUACUCGGGAGGCUGAGGCAGGAGAAUGGCGUGAACCCGAGAGGCGGAGCUUGCAGUGAGCCGAGAUCGUGCCACUGCACUCCAGCCUGGGCGACAGAGCGAGACUCCAUCUCAAAAAAAAAAAAAGUUAGACAUGUGGCUCACAUUAUUUUUCUGUUGGACAGUGCUGCUCUAAAGGCUUAAUUUGCUUUUCUUACCAUAAUAGCCCUCAUGACUUGGGUUAGAGAGUCAAUUUGGAAAUUAUCCCAAUUGUUGAACUUAUUUAUUCCAAUUGUACACUCAACCACAAGAUGAGUUUGGGGUCUUAUUAGAGCCCAAUGUGAGACUAAUUGGAAUCAAAGCUUUAUAAUCUUAUCAUGAGGCUGCCACUGACUGGUAAUCCAUGACAGCGUUCUAGUCUCCCAUUAUUUCAAAGCCGAAGGUUUAGAUACUUUCCUUCCCUAUGUGUACAUCUACCCCUAUGAAUAGCUGUCUAUUUGGAGAAGUUGAGGGGGAGGAGGUUGAGUAUAUACCUGUCAUGUUACCACAGCCUUUUUUUUUGAGGAUAUGCACCUUUCCUUUUAUUUAAGGGGCUCAGAAUCUCUGAAAUUAAUCAGACCUGGGAAUUGAGUGAGGAGGCAGGAUUCUACGGUGGUGGUUCAAGUAAGGCCUCUUAUCACCAAACUUGGAGUUUUUUGGUUUCAUACAUCAAAUAAAACCUUAUGGUGGGCUACCCAUCUGUUUCAAUUCUGGAUCUUCUGUUUAGGUAAUUAGGUACCACCAAAUAGUCAGACUAUUCAGAUGACUACGUAAGUAUGUCUGGCAGUUAUGACAACUGUAGAUUCCAUGCCUUCGAAAUGAAGUGCUGAUGUUUGGCCUUGCUUGUGUGUUCUACUCCCAAUUCCAUCACCCUUAUUGGAAUUAGGGAGACUAUGUCAUCCCAUAAGGAGUGCAGUUCAUCCCAUUUGCAUCCAUGGCCUACAACUGCUUUACAGAGAUUCUAGCUCUCCUUGCACCAAUGCAUUUCUCAGUGGUUUGGUGAUAUGAAUAUAUUGUUAGUCUUUACUGGAGGGGCAUGAUUUUUUUUUUUUUUUGAGAUGGAGUCUUGCUCUGUCGCCCAGGCUGGAGUGCAGUGGCAUAAUCUUGGCUCACUACAACCUCUGCCUCCC
rnacentral:lncRNA from 1 species